rfam:Candidatus Peregrinibacteria bacterium CG2_30_44_17 cg2_3.0_scaffold_108_c, whole genome shotgun sequence.
CGGGGCGUAGCGCAGUUGGCUAGCGCGCAAGGCUGGGGGUCUUGAGGUCGCAGGUUCAAGUCCUGUCGCCCCGA